CCUGUCCCUCCUCCUUCCUUCAGCUCUAACCUGUCCCUCCUCCUUCCUUCAGACUGACCUCUGUUUUGGUUUUGCCUCCAUCAUUUUCCUGAAGUACAAGCUCUCUCAGAGAUGACGUGGAUUGACACGGAAUAGAAGCCAUCACAUAAGGAAGUCAGCAGCAGCCCUGGUGCAGUAACUGUGUCAAAGCCAAGCCUCAUUAGGAGUCUGGGGACAGAGCCAACGGUGGAGAAGGGAAAAGAUGACCCAGGUGACAACAA
ensembl:antisense Gm20643 predicted gene 20643